GGUUUUAUGUAUCUACAUUUUCUUUUCUUUUCUUUUCUUUUCAUGUCUUCUUUCUGAAUAGUAGUAUCAUAAAAAACCCAGAUGUCAUCAGAUGAUGAGAUUACAGCUCUUACAAAGACACCUGACAGUGAAGAAGAAAUGAAAAGGAUCAUGACUGAGGUUGUACAGCCAAGAAGAACUCACCCAACUGAACUGCCCGGAGCAUUCCCUGAUCUUGAAAGCGCAUUAGAGUUUGUACAUUAUCAACUCAUGACAGUAGAUCAAGCUAGAACCGAAGAGCCACCAACCCAACCAAUUGAACUUACCGCUGUGACAGACAGCAUCAUGAUCACUACUAAAAGGGUACCACCUCAGGAGGGAUCAAUUGUUCCUUGUGAGUCCUCUGCAGUAUCUGAAUUUGACAUGAACCAUACAGCUGGUGCAGAACUACAGGCCUUGGCAGAAGCAGGCCCAAAUCAGAUUGCUGUUCCUGUAUGUCAGAGCCUGCCUGCAUUUCCAACUCAUCAACUAGGUGAAUGUUCAGCUGAGCCAGCACAAUCACAUGAUGUUUCAGCAUUCUUGGUGGAUAAUUAUCCAGUGACUCUGGAAGAUCUGGAGGAAUUUCAUGCAGCACAGGACUAUCUUUUGGAGCCUACUGUAAUGCCAGAUUCUGAAACCAGUCACCCGGCCUCUGAAUUUCAUGAUCUCCCAGAAAGUUCAUUGGCGGACCACCCUAAUAAUGAGGCACUGACUCAUGCAGAGCCAGAUGCAACUGAGGAAGCAAGUUGCGUUCCUCAUCAGCCAAUUGCAACCUCUCAAUUUGAAACAAAUGCAUCUGAAUUUUCCAAUCCCAUGGCUCCAUUUGCAGUAACUGAGCAGAAUGAUGUGCAAGUACAUACAAUCAGUGGAGCAAUAGGCCCAUAUCAUAGCACUGUUCCAGAAUGUCAAAACCAGUCUGCAUCACCAACUCAUCAACAUGAUGAAUCAUACACCCAACCAGCACUUGAAUCUCUUGAUAUUGCAAUGAACUUCCCAGAUAGCAACCCAGUGAGUCAAGAAGAUCUUCAAGCACUACAAGAAGCAUUGAGCUGUGUUUGUGAGCCUUCAUCACCAUCUUAUUUUGAUAUUCAUGUGCCAGCAUCUCCUAAUCUCACAGAAAGUCCAAUGGCUCACAGCCCAAUCAGUAGAUCUCUGACUGAUAAAGAAGAAAAAUGCAUUUCAGGAAUCACUCAAUCCUCCUCAUCAACCCACUGCAACAUCUCAAAGCCAACCAUCCAACAUCUGAAUUCUCCAGUCUCACAGGCAAUAUGAGUCUCCAUUUCCAUUCACCAAACAAUGAACUGAUGUACAGCUACAUGCACCCGUUGCGGCAACAUACCCAUAUCAUAAUGCCUUUUCAGAACUUCAAGACCUGCCUGCAUCACCGACUUGUCAACCAGCUGAAAUUUCAUCUCAGCCAGCAACUAGCAUCCUGAAUCUUGUGAACAUGAAGGCAUGCAUUCUUCUUUGGUGCAGGGAUAUAUGUUUACAUGUGAAAGAGUUCAAAUUCAAUUGAUUGAACUCAAAUAUGGAAACUUUUUCAUGAUUGUCAUUCCAAACUGGUGUAACUGUUCUUUUGCCGUCUGUUUGCUGCAAAAGCAUCAAACUUUGAUGUUUCGCUUCUUCAUUAUCUGUUAGUUCAUAACCAUAGCUAGAUAUAAAAAGCAUUAUUUUUUGGAAAAAAAUAAAAACAACAAAUUUGCAUUUUAGAAUUGUUCCAAAUAUUCGCUUUUUAGGUUUUAUAAAAAUAAUAAGUCAAAAGAUAAAAAAGUCAGAACUUCUGAAAAAUCUCUGUAAUUUAGGAACUAAGAACCUUGCAUUGGUUCUGUUAUUCUCCACCAUGCGGUUCAAGCCAUAAAUCCACCUGCUCAGGAUCGAGUGAGAAUCCUACUUCACAAUUCAGUUUUAUGAAUCUUUGGUAUCACUUUGGUCAACUCUAAACCCUUUUUUUGGGGUGGGCGGGGGUUGGGAACACAAUUGUCCCUGAGGUUUGGUGGGAUUACAGUGGCAUUCCCUCGUCCUUAGAAAAAGACAUGCACCUUCUUUCAGACAUGUUUUAUUGACAAAAGCUUGCCACCAUUAGUCAACCAUCAGGUCGACUAAUGAAUUUGCUACAUCAUCCCAAAAAUUUGUCAGAAAUACCUAUUUAACCUAUACUAUAGAAAAUAAUAUCACAUGGAACAAAUAAAGAAAAAUACAAAAAUAGAAUAUUAUUUCAACUCAAGUCCAGUGUCAAUAACACAAUCACUUGGUAUAGUAACAACAGCAUAAAGCAUAAUAUUUAUACUAUCGAAUGGCAUCAGUGACAGCAGCGGUAGUCAUUACAAAAGAAGUGGUGGUCGUUACAAAGAUAGGUGGUAAUAGGAAAGAAUUUACUUGAUAACCAAAUCAGCUUGGGCCCCAAAUUGAAAUCCCCAAAUCUGUUUUUUGAAGAACAGGGUAAAAUGUAAAAUCAUGCUUUGCAUUCAAUUGCACAGUUAACGACUGGAAGCUCUCUUUCAAUGACAUUAAACCUAAAGGGAGCUUAUGUCUCUUUUCAAAGAUGAUGGGAGGUUUUUCACUAAACUUCAGAAGAGAUUUUUUUUUUUUUUGAUAAAUCACUAAACUUCAGACGAGAUGAAUGCAAUGUUCUCUUUUUUGGGCCUUUUUCUUGUCGUUUUACAACCCUAAAUGUGAAUCAAGUCAGUAACAAGGUGCAUCACAAGUGGUUGAAUGAUCUCUGAAACUUACUCCAUAGAAUGCAUUCAUUUUUUCUUCUAGUUUUCUUGUGUUGUUAUUCAUAUUUCAUACACCUCAAUCUCUUCACUUCUAUUACAUACACUUCCUGAACAUGAUUCUAAGCCAUCAAGCAUUUCAUAUAGCUAGUCCUAUAGCCAGCUCAAAACAUUCUUUUUUCUUUAAAGAUGGACACGUAUAUUGAAAAGAUAAAAUAGUAAAUAACAUCAAACUAACAAAAAGAAAAAAGCCAACCCCAUACCCAACCAAAAGCAAUUAUGGUUAUCCAAACCUCAUCUUGUAUGAGGCAAAUAGGAUUUGAAAGUCAAAACUCUAAACCUGCUCGAUAUUGAUCCAAGUUUGAAAUUCCCAACAAAAAACAAAUGUGUAAUCUAAUGCAAAUUUCUCAAUCAAAUAGAAGGCACAAGGCGCCAUUUUGCUCUUUACACGGUGAUCCAAAUUCUUACAAUCAAAAGCACUUUAUUUGGCCAAGUCUAGCAAAAGCAAGAGACACUGUUUUUACCUAUGUUACAAUACUUCUCUCCUUCUUAUCAAUAAUUAAAUAAAUAAUUUUCCAGAACUUUUAAAUAAAAUGAGGAGAUAUAUCAAAAUAUAAAAUUAUUCUACUUUAGAUAUGCAGUUAAAAACAAGGGAAUUUAAGAAAGGAACUGUGACAACAUUGAAUGGGGUUAAGAUUGAGGAGACCUAAGGUUAGGGAUGGGAGUUUAGCUUACAAUGGAGACUUUGUAAGCAAGUGUUUAUGGGGAUUCCUCAAGGAACAACUUCUCUUUGGCACACUAUUAUCAAGAAUAAGUAUGGUAAUCCAAUGGAUGGGAUGCCAACUCUAAUAUCAGGAUUUUGAAUCAAAGCCCAUGGAAAACUAUCGCCUGGGUUUUCAAGCCUUCCUUCCUUAUAUUAGAUUUGUUAUAGCAAUGGAUCUAACAUCAGUUUUUAGGAAGACCCUUGGCAGGGAAUCUUCUCUUUUGUGAACCUUCCCCUCAUCUUCACACUACCUCAAAAAGAGUUAGCUCCCUAGCCUCAUUGUUGUAGUCCUAUCAAGAUUUUCAAAGGUGCUUGUCGGGCACACCUCAAGACAUGGUGUGGCAAAAACAACACUUUGAGGUGUUGAAGAAAAAGCCAAACUCUAGAAAGGCAUAUGCCUUUCACAGUGAGGUGUGGCUAAGGCACGCAUUGGAUGCACCUUUUACGCACUGGGGAUUGAGGCAUACACCUCUAUGGGUCUUUGUGUCUCAAGUGGCCAUGUUAGAAAAAAAAAACAAAAAUUGAAGAAGAUAUCAACAUUUUAACCCGAAAAUCCCAUAGAGAGUGAGUGAGAAUUGAGAAUAAAGAGGAAAAUGAAAGAAAAAUCCUAACCCUAGAUCCGUAAAAAUGCUUACCUCACAAUCGUGGCUUCUCAUUUCGAAGACACCCUCUCACUCCGACAACACCCUAUUUGCUUUGUCUCAACAGUCGGCGCCUUCUCCGUCUUGUCUCUUCCCUUUCUCCUUCAUCCUUUCUACUUUCUUCUCUAUCCGCGCCUUCUCCACCACAACUAGUUUUUUGUUUUCUUAAUCUUUUUUUUUUUUUUUUCUUGGGCAAUACCAAGAUAAUUGUUUUCUUGUUUUUACUUUUUACAUCACCACAACCACAUUUUUACAUCUUGUUUUAUUGUUUUUAGUUUGACCACUAGGACCACUUACCUUCCCUUACAAGCAUGUUCAUCCAAUUUCCAAUUUCUCACCUCUCAUUUUUUUUUUAAAGGGAAAAUUGGAAAGUUAUAUAAAUAAUUAGGUUUUUAUAUUUAUCUUAAGGAUUAGAUAUGAUAAUAUUUAAUUUUAAAAAUUUUAUUAUUAAAAUUUUGUUAUUUUAUGUUCUAAAAGAAUUAUGUAAUUUAUUUAAAAUUCUUUAUGUAAUUUAUUCAAUAUUAUAUUUUUACAUAUUUAGUAAUUAUAAAAAUUAGGAUCUCAAAAGGCUAACGCCUUAACACUUCAAAGCUUACGCUUCGUCUCACAGGAACAAAAACGCCUUGCCUUAAACUUUCGCUUUAAAAACUUUGUCCUAUAACUUUCUAUCUUGGCACCUUGGUUCUCACACAAAUAUUAACAAACAGGAGAGUACAGAUUUGGCAGUGCUCUUCUCCAUAAAAACGUGGUUAUUCCUUUGUCCCUAGAUGGGAAUCUGUUGCUUCAAAAUCCUUUUUAUGUUUAAGAAGGAUAGGACCAGCCUAUUUUUCACUAGCCAAGCUAACACAGUGAUCCAAACCGACCUUCAAAAACCACCCCCUCUUUGUUAAGCAUCAGGCAGCUCCAAAAGAGAUCCCAAAUAUGUUGGUCACAGUUUUUUAUUCUUUUUUCAGGGUUUUGGAAAGUAACUAGAAGUAAGGUUCUAGGAUGUUUUUCUCUGCAAGCCACUCUUUGGGUGACGAGGUUAUAAAGGAAGGCUAAGAUCUUUGAGGAGAAACAAAGCUCUACUACAAAGUUGAGUAUUGUAUUUAUUUGAGACAUUGUUAGUUAGAUUUUGUUAGACUUUGAAACUGUUUAUUAGGCCCAUUUAAGGAUAGCUCCUCUUGAGCUUGAUUUUUGGCCCUCUUUAUAUUUUACUAUUCUUGUGCAAGGACUCCUCAUCCUUCUUUGUUUGUACUUUAUUUUUAUUUUAAUACAUUUUGUUCUUUAUAUAAAUAAAGAAAAAUAAUUGAAGAGGCUCUAUUAAAAUUUUCACUAAAUACAAAUAUAAGUUUCUAAAUUUUCAUUUUUGGAUGGGGUACAGGAAUGUGGGCUUGUGAUCAACAAGUCAGUCAAACAGAGAAGAGACCAUUCUCAUUUAUUUUCAUGAUUAGAUGAACCAAUUUGGAUUCCUAUGUUUCAACAAAGAUUGAAGAGAGAACUGAAGUAGAUGGUACGCAGCACUCAGUAGUCCAUAGAGUGAAACCGGCAUCUCUCUUUCUCCAACUUCCAUUCUUUUUUCAACCACGAUAAAAAAAAAAAAAAAAAAAUCUCCAUUUUUUUUCUUUCUUUUCCUCUUUUUUUAAUCUAAAAGAACAGAAACACGGCCUAUAAUUCAAAUGACAAAUUGAUGAUAGGCAUGCCAUGUCUCCAUGCUAUAGGUAAAAAAGGCAAUCAAGUUGCAAAAUAAGGCACCCAUAGCUGCAUAGUCCAUAAAAUCCAUUUAAAUAUUCAAGAACACGAUCUGAUAACAAAUAGAAUGAUGCAAACUGACUAAAAUAACACAACAAAAACAAUGACUAAUCUCAAGGAAAGCACUCAACGAUGGUUCAGACAACAUACAAAAAAUACACCAGUCAAAUCAGACACCCACCAACAACAUUCUGAAGCCCUAAAUCACUAGAACAAAAAUCAAAGAUCUUAUGCAGGAAUAUGUUGUUCUCAAGAACAAUCAUACCACUUACCUUGGAACUAGUCAAACUUAAUGGAACUUCUCAUAACCAUGGUCUGAAGUACCUUUCAAUAUUUCAGCCAUCUCCAGUAUCUACAAGAGUCCAUAAAAUUUAUUGCUCCACAUUUUUAUAUAAAGCUUCCAUGUUUGAUGACUAAAUUCUGCCACUUUGUUCAGAUCUAUAUCAAUACCUCCAUACUUUCAGAACCACAAUAUGAAAUCUGAAUUCAACAUUUUACUCCUUGCUGGUAACCACAUCAGGAUCCAAUACAUCCAUGGUCGUAUUUAUCUCUCAUAACAGCCAUUCUUUCUCUCACUCACAUGCCAACAAAUCAGCCCCGAAAGUAAACUUCAACAUCCACAGAAUCACAGAUAAAAAUGAGCAAGAAAUGCCCUUCAUCUACACUCAAUUAUUCUUCAAUAAACUCCAAUUUUACACGAGUGCUUCCUCAACUUAUUGGCAACCACAUGCAACCAACUGGCAUCAGGAUUUUCAAUAACCCUUCUGUUUGUCAGCUGAGAAAACAGAGACGAAAAAAUGGCUUUGGAUCUCACAUCUCCACCAGAUCCUUAUAGCCGUAUUUAUUAUUUUCCCAAAGCGCAUGUAACUCAGCAGUGAGAAUUUUAACUUUUUUCUCUUAAAUUUCCUACCUUUUCUCAGCAACCAAACAGAAGUAGUAAAUAAUUCACGAAUCAGUAAACAUAAACGUAAAUUUAAAAAAAGAAAAAAAGAAAAAGAAAAACCUAAAUUCGGAUUGUAAGCAACGGUAAAAAACCAGACAUAAUUUACGAUCAAAAUAUGAAGUCAGAAAAAGUAAAGAGAAAAAGCAGUAAAUCAACCUAAAACGCCGUCGUUUCAAGUCUGUCUCUACCACUGGCGUCGUCUUCGCCGACGAUUUCCAUAGCGCCGGUGGCCUCUGAUGAAGGUAAAGGCGUCUCUGUUGAUUCGUUGGAAAGUGCCUACCGUGUAUCGAUUUGUCUACCGUCGAUCCUAUGCAGUGAUUCCAGUAACCAAUGCCAAAACGCCACGUCGCCAUACUGCUAUUCCCCCCUUUUACCCUUUUUGGGUUUUGAUUAUAUCAUUAUGAGACUGAUGUGAAAAUUAUAAUUUUUAGUCUUCAUUUAAUUUCGUAUCAUAUGGUUAUCAAAU
rnacentral:lncRNA from 1 species